rnacentral:rRNA from 1 species
GACGAACGCUGGCGGCGUGCUUAACACAUGCAAGUCGAACGAUGAUGCUCCAGCUUGCUGGGGUGGAUUAGUGGCGAACGGGUGAGUAAUACGUGAGUAACCUGCCCCCUUCUUCGGGAUAAGCCUUGGAAACGGGGUCUAAUACUGGAUAUUCUGCACUGGACGCAUGUUUGGUGUUGGAAAGGGUUUCUGGUGGGGGAUGGGCUCACGGCCUAUCAGCUUGUUGGUGGGGUGAUGGCCUACCAAGGCUUCGACGGGUAGCCGGCCUGAGAGGGUGACCGGCCACAUUGGGACUGAGAUACGGCCCAGACUCCUACGGGAGGCAGCAGUGGGGAAUAUUGCACAAUGGACGCAAGUCUGAUGCAGCGACGCCGCGUGGGGGAUGAAGGCUUUCGGGUUGUAAACUCCUUUUAACACUGAACAAGGCGAAAGUUGAGGGUAGGUGUUGAAUAAGCGCCGGCUAACUACGUGCCAGCAGCCGCGGUAAUACGUAGGGCGCGAGCGUUGUCCGGAAUUAUUGGGCGUAAAGAGCUCGUAGGCGGUUUGUCGCGUCUGCUGUGAAAGACCGGGGCUUAACUCCGGGGCUGCAGUGGGUACGGGCAGACUAGAGUGCGGUAGGGGUAACUGGAAUUCCUGGUGUAGCGGUGGAAUGCGCAGAUAUCAGGAGGAACACCGAUGGCGAAGGCAGGUUACUGGGCCGUUACUGACGCUGAGGAGCGAAAGCAUGGGGAGCGAACAGGAUUAGAUACCCUGGUAGUCCAUGCCGUAAACGUUGGGCACUAGGUGUGGGGCUUCAUUUCCAUGGGUCCUGUACCGUAGCUAACGCAUUAAGUGCCCCGCCUGGGGAGUACGGCCGCAAGGCUAAAACUCAAAGGAAUUGACGGGGGCCCGCACAAGCGGCGGAGCAUGCGGAUUAAUUCGAUGCAACGCGAAGAACCUUACCAAGGCUUGACAUACACUGCGACAUGCUAGAGAUAGUGUGGCCUUCGGGGUGGUGUACAGGUGGUGCAUGGUUGUCGUCAGCUCGUGUCGUGAGAUGUUGGGUUAAGUCCCGCAACGAGCGCAACCCUUGUCUUGUGUUGCCAGCACGUUAUGGUGGGGACUCACGAGAGACUGCCGGGGUUAACUCGGAGGAAGGUGGGGAUGACGUCAAAUCAUCAUGCCCCUUAUGUCUUGGGCUUCACGCAUGCUACAAUGGCUG